rnacentral:tRNA from 1 species
GGAGAGGUGGCUGAGAGGUCGAAAGCGGCAGAUUGCUAAUCUGUUGUACUCUUAAUUUGAGUACCAAGGGUUCGAAUCCCUUUCUCUCCU